rnacentral:sRNA from 1 species
AUCAUAGGAACUCAGUUUAAAAACAUCGCCUUCUGCGAUAACGACUAAGUGACCAACAUUAAGUUGG